rnacentral:rRNA from 1 species
CAGCAGCCGCGGUAAUACAGAGGGUGCGAGCGUUAAUCGGAUUUACUGGGCGUAAAGCGUGCGUAGGCGGCUUCUUAAGUCGGAUGUGAAAUCCCUGAGCUUAACUUAGGAAUUGCAUUCGAUACUGGGAAGCUAGAGUAUGGGAGAGGAUGGUAGAAUUCCAGGUGUAGCGGUGAAAUGCGUAGAGAUCUGGAGGAAUACCGAUGGCGAAGGCAGCCAUCUGGCCUAAUACUGACGCUGAGGUACGAAAGCAUGGGGAGCAAACAGGAUUAGAUACCCGAGUAGUCCCUGUCUCUUUACA